UUGGGUAUAGUAGUAACUGUACAGUCACAGCCCAAGUUCAAAUGUGUUGAAACGCUGCCGUCUUCUUCUUCACUGGCAUUGUAAUUUAGGGGUUUAGGGUUUCCGAGUUGAUUGGAGGAACCGGAACCCCGGACCAUUCCGGCACUCAAUAGUUGAGAAAUCCUUGCACGCCUGAUCUCCGAUUAUAAGAGUUGCGGACAUUCUCCUCCUCCUCCUCUUUGCCGUCAUUCAUCAUUGGAACAAAUCGGAAGAGAGGGCCUCUACUUCUCCUCCUUCCCUCUCUAUGAUCAUUGAACGGUUCAGGCAUCAAUCAUCCUCGUUAUACAGUUGAUAGAGCUUCCUGAUUCAAAAAGGGUUUCAAUGUCAAAGAGUCGAGCAAGAGUUAAAGAUAGGUUUAGCGCAUUACCUGAUGGAGUUGUUAGUAAAAUACUUUCCUGCCUUGAUAUACAAUCUGCUGUGAGGACCACCGUUUUGUCCCCGAGGUGGAACAAUUUAUGGACUUCUCUUUCCGACCUAUGGUUCCGCAAUGGAGAUUUCAUUGAUGAUCAUGCUUUCAUGACGUUUGUGGAUCGUGUUCUUUUCUUUCGUGACUCGUCAGACAUCAAAAAAUUCUAUCUUGAC